rnacentral:rRNA from 1 species
UGAGGAAUAUUGGUCAAUGGACGAGAGUCUGAACCAGCCAAGUAGCGUGCAGGAUGACGGCCCUAUGGGUUGUAAACUGCUUUUGUUUGGGAAUAAUUGACUUUUCGUGUAAUGUUUUGCCUGUACCAUUCGAAUAAGGACCGGCUAACUCCGUGCCAGCAGCCGCGGUAAUACGGAAGGUGCAGGCGUUAUCCGGAUUCAUUGGGUUUAAAGGGAGUGUAGGCGGUAGGUUAAGCGUGAUGUGAAAGGUUGAUGCUCAACAUCUGACUUGCAGUGCGAACUGGUUGGCUUGAGUAAGAACAACGUAGGCGGAAUUCAAGGUGUAGCGGUGAAAUGCUUAGAUAUGACAAAGAACUCCGAUUGCGAAGGCAGCUGGCGGGAGCAAAACUGACGCUGAAGCUCGAAAGAGCGGGUAUCGAACAGG